GAUGAACGCUGGCGGCGUGCCUAACACAUGCAAGUCGAGCGAACGGACGAGAAGCUUGCUUCUCUGAUGUUAGCGGCGGACGGGUGAGUAACACGUGGAUAACCUACCUAUAAGACUGGGAUAACUUCGGGAAACCGGAGCUAAUACCGGAUAAUAUUUUGAACCGCAUGGUUCAAAAGUGAAAGACGGUCUUGCUGUCACUUAUAGCUGGAUCCGCGCUGCAUUAGCUAGUUGGUAAGGUAACGGCUUACCAAGGCAACGAUGCAUAGCCGACCUGAGAGGGUGAUCGGCCACACUGGAACUGAGACACGGUCCAGACUCCUACGGGAGGCAGCAGUAGGGAAUCUUCCGCAAUGGGCGAAAGCCUGACGGAGCAACGCCGCGUGAGUGAUGAAGGUCUUCGGAUCGUAAAACUCUGUUAUUAGGGAAGAACAUAUGUGUAAGUAACUGUGCACAUCUUGACGGUACCUAAUCAGAAAGCCACGGCUAACUACGUG
rnacentral:rRNA from 1 species